UACGUAGGUGGCGAGCGUUAUUCGGAUUCACUGGGCGUAAAGGGUCCGUAGGGGGUUUGCCAAGUCUGGUGUGAAAGCCCGCCGCUCAACGGCGGAACGGCACUGGAGACUGACGAACUCGAGUUCAUGAUGGGAGAGCGGAAUUCCUGGUGUAGCGGUGGAAUGCGUAGAUAUCAGGAGGAACACCCGCGGCGAAGGCGGCUCUCUGGCGUGAAACUGACCCUGAAGGACGAAAGCGUGGGUAGCAAACAGGAUUAGAUACC
rnacentral:rRNA from 1 species